ensembl:lncRNA
CUGAACUCCAAUUACCAUUGGGAACCACAGGAAGGCAACACAGAAAAACAGAAAGGAAAAUGGUGAUUCCAGGUCUCCCCUGGCUUCCACACUAUUUAGAAGGAACUUAGAAUUUCCAUUAAUACUCCAAAAGGAAUGGGUAGAGGAGGACAAGGAAGAUGUCUGAGAGUAGAGACAGAGAGCUUGCUGAGAUAAGGGUUGAAAUGCCCACAUAGCAAAAGGUGAAGGAGUCAUAAUGUUGAGAAGUCAUGAUUCGAAGGAGUCAUAAUUAGACCUCAGAGGUCAAACAUCCCUAGUGAGAGGUGAGGCAACGCCCAAUCAGUAACAGGAGAUCCAUGAACUCCUAAGCUAUAAUCAUUACACCUGUUCUGUGUCAAGAUCAAAUACCACACUUUAUAUCCAUAGUAGAUGAAGUUUAGAUGACAGAAAUCAGUUCCCAGAAACCAGAUUCUUCAUGGCAAGAAAGGAAAGAGGAAGGGAGAAAAGCUCUGAAAGGCUGACCAGGUACCCCAAAGAGACUGCGUUUAUCUACAAGACUGUUUGAACUGAAAGAAAUGGUCUCUAAGCCAACCAGAAAAAAGAAAAUAGCUCAAAAAGGAGGUAAAAAUCAAAGAAAGAAAAAUAUUAAUAAAAUAAGACUCCAGGAUAAUGAGUAAUUGGUGAGACCAGAAGGUGACAAAUUGAUCCGGUAACUGAUUUGCCUGGAUAGCUUUCAACUAAAUGCUCUCAAAAGGAAGAUAUUCUGAAUGAAACAGAAGACCCCGAAACCUUUCCUUUCCACCACCAACCCCCAGAAGCAGAAAGUCAUGAAGGCUCAGUCAGUUGCCCAUAAACUGUGUUCCUGGGUCUUGGCUACAUUGCCAUCAUUUCAGAUGAGCCCCAUCAAUACCAGAUGGACCCCCCGGAUACACGCUCAUUAGUCAUAUGCUUUAAGAUGAGCCCAGUUCUCACACCCACCCGAUGGUGGCAACGGAAAUGAUUACUCUGGGCACCCUGACUGCGUGACUGUGAAAGCAACUGUUUGGUGUUAACUGAUUUGCAUAAUGGUGGAGAACUCCCAGUUUGGGGGAAGUCUUUUCCUAUUUCUGCAGUUCCACAUGCCGUGCUAGUUUCUAAGGGAGCAGGAGCCAGAUACUGAAGCCAUGUCACCCCCUUGUUUGAGGGAGCAGUGCCUCUCAUCACCCUAUACCGCCUCAGUCUAGUCACAUGAGCCCUUAAAAGCAGAGGGAGCAGUUGCCCUGGAAGUUUCCAUGCUAUGGGCAAUGUAUUCAGACCCCAGGACAAGAUCUGAGUGCACGCUCAACCCUAAAAGGGGGAUGAGAAUAAUUUGAUUGAAAAAUGUCCCCAUAGCCUCAUCUUGAAAGAACGAAGUCUUUUUUCCUUCCUUUUACCCAGCAGGCGAGUAGUGUUUUUUAUCUUCCAGGCAUAACUCUUGGAAAGAAUGGAGCUACUUGUUUCAAAAGCCUGUGCUAAUGGGAAUAAACAGUUAAAAUAAAGUUUUUCCCAACUUCAGGGUAAGAAUGACUUUGUGUAGAUAUGGAGGACUGAAAGGAAAGUGGGUUCUACCAGUGGCAGAGAUCAGUACCCCACCCAAUGCUCCAGGAGAUACUAGGACUUUUUCAUAAAGCUGGGAUGUGGAUUCCCCACGACUGAACCUGGAAAAACAAGCCUAGCGGCCCAUGGCCAAAUUUCAUAGGACAGAACUAGGGCUGAAACAAAGAGACUUUCGAGCAGAAUAACUGUCUGACUUCAAAUGAAACACCAUUUGGACAAUAAGCAGUUCAUGAGCAACAAUUACAAUAUGAGCCGAGAAUGCCCCCCCAACUUCCUGAACACUGUAGAAAACCUUCCAUUUUUAUAUAAUCCCAGAGAAUAGAAGGGGACCACCAAGCAUACCAAAAAUUUCAUUUCUUAUCAGAUAGGCAAACAAAGACUCAGAGUCAAGUAUGAUUUAACAGAGAAAAGUAAAA